UCGGGAAUAUUGCGCAAUGGAGGAAACUCUGACGCAGUGACGCCGCGUAUGGGAAGAAGGUUUUCGGAUUGUAAACCAUUGUCAUUAGGGAAGAAGAAGUGACAGUACCUAAGGAGGAAGCUCCGGCUAACUAUGUGCCAGCAGCCGCGGUAAUACAUAGGGAGCGAGCGUUAUCCGGAUUUAUUGGGUGUAAAGGGUGCGUAGACGGGAAUACAAGUUGGUUGUGAAAGCCCUCGGCUUAACUGAGGAACUGCAACCGAAACUAUAUUUCUUGAGUACUGGAGAGGAAAGUGGAAUUCCUAG
rnacentral:rRNA from 1 species